GACGAACGCUGGCGGCGUGCCUAAUACAUGCAAGUUGAGCGAUGAAGAUUGGUGCUUGCACCAAUUUGAAGAGCAGCGAACGGGUGAGUAACGCGUGGGGAAUCUGCCUUUGAGCGGGGGACAACAUUUGGAAACGAAUGCUAAUACCGCAUAACAACUUUAAACAUAAGUUUUAAGUUUGAAAGAUGCAGUUGCAUCACUCAAAGAUGAUCCCGCGUUGUAUUAGCUAGUUGGUGAGGUAAAGGCUCACCAAGGCGAUGACACAUAGCCGACCUGAGAGGGUGGUCGGCCACAUUGGGACUGAGACACGGCCCAAACUCCUUCGGGAGGCAGCCGUAGGGAAUCUUCGGCAAUGGGCGAAAGUCUGACCGCGCAACGCCGCGUGAGUGCAGAAGGUUUUCGGGUCGUAAAACUCUGUUGGUAGAGAAGAACGUUGGUGAGAGUGGAAAGCUCAUCAAGUGACGGUAACUACCCAGAAAGGGACGGCUAACUACGUG
rnacentral:rRNA from 1 species